UAGGGAAUAUUGCAAAAUGGGCGAAAGCCCGAUGCAGCAACGCCGCGUGGGCGAUGAAGGCCUUCGGGUCGUAAAGCCCUUUUUGAGGGGAUGAGGAAGGACAGUACCCUCAGAAUAAGCCUCGGCUAACUACGUGCCAGCAGCCGCGGUAAAACGUAGGAGGCGAGCGUUAUCCGGAUUUACUGGGCGUAAAGCGCGUGCAGGCGGAUUGGAGAGUUGGAUGUGAAAGCUCCCGGCUUAACUGGGAGAGGUCGUUCAAUACUUCCAGGCUUGAGUGCAGUAGAGNGAAGUGGAAUUCCGGGUGUAGUGGUGAAAUGCGUAGAUAUCCGGAGGAACACCAGUGGCGAAAGCGGCUUCCUGGACUGUAACUGACGCUCAGACGCGAAAGCUAGGGUAGCAAACG
rnacentral:rRNA from 1 species